GAGUUUGACCGUGGCUCAGAUUGAACGCUGGCGGCAUGCCUUACACAUGCAAGUCGAACGGCAGCACGGGAGCUUGCUCCUGGUGGCGAGUGGCGAACGGGUGAGUAAUGCAUCGGAACGUAUCCUGGAGUGGGGGAUAACGUAGCGAAAGUUACGCUAAUACCGCAUAUUCUGUGAGCAGGAAAGCGGGGGACCUUCGGGCCUCGCGCUCUUGGAGCGGCCGAUGUCGGAUUAGCUAGUUGGUGAGGUAAAGGCUCACCAAGGCGACGAUCCGUAGCAGGUCUGAGAGGAUGAUCUGCCACACUGGAACUGAGACACGGUCCAGACUCCUACGGGAGGCAGCAGUGGGGAAUUUUUGGACAAUGGGGGCAACCCUGAUCCAGCCAUGCCGCGUGAGUGAAGAAGGCCUCGGUUGU
rnacentral:rRNA from 1 species